UACGAAGGGGGCUAGCGUUGUUCGGAAUCACUGGGCGUAAAGAGCACGUAGGCGGAUCUUUAAGUCAGGGGUGAAAUCCCGAGGCUCAACCUCGGAACUGCCUUUGAUACUGGAGGUCUCGAGUCCGGGAGAGGUGAGUGGAGCUGCGAGUGUAGAGGUGAAAUUCGUAGAUAUUCGCAAGAACACCAGUGGCGAAGGUGGCUCACUGGCCCGGUACUGACGCUGAGGUGCGAAAGCGUGGGGAGCAAACAGG
rnacentral:rRNA from 1 species